ACGUGCCAGCAGCCGCGGUAAUACGUAGGGUGCGAGCGUUAAUCGGAAUUACUGGGCGUAAAGCGUGCGCAGGCGGUUCGUUAAGACAGAUGUGAAAUCCCCGGGCUUAACCUGGGAACUGCAUUUGUGACUGGCGAGCUAGAGUAUGGCAGAGGGGGGUAGAAUUCCACGUGUAGCAGUGAAAUGCGUAGAGAUGUGGAGGAAUACCGAUGGCGAAGGCAGCCCCCUGGGAUAACACUGACGCUCAUGCACGAAAGCGUGGGGAGCAAACAGGAUUAGAUACCCUGGUAGUCCACGCCCUAAACGAUGUCUACUAGUUGUCGGGUCUUAAUUGACUUGGUAACGCAGCUAACGCGUGAAGUAGACCGCCUGGGGAGUACGGUCGCAAGAUUAAAACUCAAAGGAAUUGACGGGGACCCGCACAAGCGGUGGAUGAUGUGGAUUAAUUCGAUGCAACGCGAAAAACCUUACCUACCCUUGACAUGGCUGGAAUCCUUGAGAGAUCAGGGAGUGCUUGAAAGAGAACCAGUACACAGGUGCUGCAUGGCUGUCGUCAGCUCGUG
rnacentral:rRNA from 1 species